ensembl:lncRNA
GCUCCCUCCACAGAUUUUCUAUGGGAUUAAGGUCUGGAGACUGGCUAGGCCACUCCCAUUCACGCGUCAUCGCGUUUCCUCAGAGGGGAAGGGCACGUACACACGUUGGGGCGGUCCAUUUAACAACGAUGGGAAUAAAAACAGGACCAUGGAAAGAACACAGGACACAGAACAGCAAUUUAAAGGAAGACGUCGAAAAGCGAGGACUGCGAACUGUCCGUGGAACAAGCGGAGAUAGUCCAUGACAAUGCAGCGGUGUUGGCACAUGAAGCGGCACGAGACGGGAGUGCGUCGGGCUACCGGAUUCCUGAUGGUGAUGCUCUGGCUCCAAGCAUCACUACGCGUCACUGAGGCAGCAAUUAUUCCGAAGCAAUCAGAGGGCCAUGAUUACCAGACAGAUGUUCAGAGAUAUGUAGCUGUCUACCCAUCGAAGAAUACGAGACGUGCUACAGAUACAGUGCGACUUCAGACUGCAGUAGGACCAGAUGGGAAAGUGGUUCCAACUUUAUAUGAGAACAAAAUUUACAUUUGGCAGACCCACACUAUCAGUGGAAACCUAUUCAAACUGGAGGACAACGGCACGUCCCUUGUUGUGUCUAAGAAAGGCCUAUACUUUGUGAAUCUGAGAAUGAGCUACUAUAUUCCUGAUAUGCAUACGUGUACGAGCAAUUUGUUUUUGAGUACCUCUAUUAAGCAGCACCAUACUUCAUACACUAAAUGGAUAGAUGUCAUAAACAGCAAAGACACGAUGCAAUGUGUGGACUACUGGCAUCAGUCUGUUACUUUAAGUCAAGUGGUCAGGUUUGGGAAAGGAACAAAGCUAAGAGUUCUCAUAGACCCAGUGAACUAUUCUUAUAUAAUUGGGGAUACCAGCACUUUCUUCAGUGUCACUCGUCUGUAGUAUGGUUCCUAAAUUUGAACCCAUAUUUUGGUGUUGAUAUUGUGUAAUGUUGGAUGAAGCUGUAUAAUAUUUUAUACAGAUUCAUCCAACAUUACAUAAUAUUAAAAAGUUACAAGUGGGUUUUUCAAACACUUAUGCGCAAAUCACAGAGCAAAAAGGAACCAUUACUUUUUAAAUAUAUAAUAUUUGUUUGCAUUUUGCUUGUUUCAGUAGAACUUUUCUGAACUACAACGUAGAAAUUCUUAUUAAAUUCCGCAACAUGUUUCCAUAAGGAAUUCAUAUACUGAAUAUCAUAUAUUGAAUGAAAAGUAAGGCCUUCUUGUUAUUAGUCUUUUAUGAUAUUAAAUGGCCCAGAAUUUUUAUGGUUUUCAUUGCCAGUUGGCGAUGGACAUGUUUUAUAUUAAAACGUCUUUUUGUGAUGAUGUUCCAUUGUGCUAAUUGACAGUUAAAUAAAAUAAAUAAAUAAAUAAAUAUUUUUGUCAAUUUCUUUCUGACAGACAGAUUCUAAAAUGUAGUAUGGCAUUUAAAACAUCCUAUAAGGAG